ACACCUGAUCUUGUGGUGAGAAUAUUUGGAUAUGCAGGUUCAUUUUCCAUGUGUGAAUUCUGUGAUUUCUUUGCUUCCCAUGUAUUUUGCUCGGAAAGGUUUAUUAUCUAAACCUUCACAUGUGACAUAGCUGCAAACAUAUAACUACUUCUUGAACUAUUUUGCUGAUCUUGUCUAGUUGUGUUUCAUGUCUGUCCAUAUGUGUCUGCUUAUUAUGUUGUGUUAUAGUGUCUUGAUCUAAUCAUCCCUUUGGGCAUUGUGGGUGGUUCUGUUGAGCCCCAAGCUGAUUUCCUCUUCCAUUACAUCCUAUAUACAUGGCUCAUUAUUAGAUUUCUUGAUUGUUUUUAAUGAUAACUGAAACUCCGGGAUCUAUCACUACUUCCUUUCAGAAAUAAUAAUAUGAAAGGUGUUGCUUCAGUUGAGGUGUUUCUGACUUUCUCUAUCUUAUUUUGUCCCUCUCCUUCCCGAAAACAAAAAAAGAAUAAGCAGAGAGAUGUCUCACCCUUUUUUUAUUUUAUUUUAUGCAUAACCAUUACUAAUAUUUUUUUAUUUUUUAUUAACUGAUUAUGUAAAUGUUGCGAGUAAAAAACUUCUCCUUUUUGGGAGAAUUAUAUAGGUCAACUUGUGUAAAGGAUGUUUCUUGCUUGUGGUAGAAAUUGUACGCUUUAAUACCAUUACAUUAAGUUUACACAGGUUUCCCAUUCAUAUACUUGCGAUUUUUUGUCUUGUUUAAUGAAUUUUUUAGGAACUUAACAGAAACACUACUACAAAUCCCUUAGUUUCUGGACGCUAUGUGCUCGACGCCAUGUAUCAAGCGUUAGCCAAAAAAAUUAUUUUCGUGUUUUUUCGACGCUUUUAAGCGUCACCAUUAGAUCUCGACACAUAAAAGCGUCGAGAAAAAUACAUGUGAUAUGCACGUGACUGUCUAUAUCCCGGGACUUCAAAUUUCAGGGAAAAAAAAAGCGGGCUAAUUAAAUUAAACCAAAAAAAAAAGAAAAAAAUUAAACCGCCAUUACGCAGUUAGCAGUCAGAAGAAAUAAAAAAAAAAAAAACCCUUAGCUCCUAACGAACCCUAACACGAUCUUCUUUGCUUGCUCACGCACAAUCGCUCUCAUCUAAUCUCUUAAACCACUUGAAAUUGUUGAAUUUUCGUUGCUCUCUUCAAUAUUAUCUUCAAUUUUCGUUAAUCCUCUCGCUCAUGUCAUCAAUUUUCCGUAUGUUUUGGUUGAUAUAUCAAUUUCGUAGGUUUUGGUUAUCAAUUUUGUUGCUAAUGCUGAAUUUUUGUUUAUUCAUUGCAUGUAUGGGAAUUCUUUUUGCUAAUGGGAUUUCGAAACCACCCACGCAGAGAAGUGAAGAAUUUAUAUCACAGGUGACAGAGGAGGAGCUUAUCUAAAAAUUGUUCUAAUUGUGAUAGUUGCUGCACUUAGCGAGUUGGCCGAGAUGCUAAUGGUAACGUUGUAUACUUGAGUGGUUCUAUUCAGCCUAUUGAUGUUUGGAGUAAUAACGGUGUCAGAUUCUAUGUUGAAUUUAAUGAGUUUCACCAGCCGAUUCGAAAAGGUGGACAUAUUUUAAUCCGAUUCCUUGGUAACAUUGCGAAGAUAGAGACGUAUUGUCCACUUGGAGAAGAGGAUUGGCAUGCUGUUGAUGAGCAUUUUAAAAAGAA